rnacentral:rRNA from 1 species
UACGUAGGAGACGAGCGUUGUCCGGAAUUACUGGGCGUAAAGCGCGUGUAGGCGGAGGAGCAAGUCUGCUGUGAAAGCCCCUGGCUUAACCGGGGGUGGUCGGUGGAAACUGCUCGUCUGGAGGACGGUAGAGGUAGGUAGAAUUCCCGGUGUAGUGGUGAAAUGCGUAGAGAUCGGGAGGAAUACCUGUGGCGAAGGCG